rnacentral:rRNA from 1 species
CCUCGGGUGGCAGCAGUGGGGAAUAUUGGACAAUGGGGGCAACCCUGAUCCAGCCAUGCCGCGUGUGUGAAGAAGGCCCUCGGGUUGUAAAGCACUUUCAGUGAGGAAGAACGCCUGGUGGUUAAUACCCAUCAGGAAAGACAUCACUCACAGAAGAAGCACCGGCUAACUCCGUGCCAGCAGCCGCGGUAAUACGGAGGGUGCGAGCGUUAAUCGGAAUUACUGGGCGUAAAGCGCGCGUAGGUGGCUUGAUAAGCCGGUUGUGAAAGCCCCGGGCUCAACCUGGGAACGGCAUCCGGAACUGUCAAGCUAGAGUGCAGGAGAGGAAGGUAGAAUUCCCGGUGUAGCGGUGAAAUGCGUAGAGAUCGGGAGGAAUACCAGUGGCGAAGGCGGCCUUCUGGACUGACACUGACACUGAGGUGCGAAAGCGUGGGUAGCAAACAGGAUUAGAUACCCUGGUAGUC